rnacentral:rRNA from 1 species
CAGGCCUAACACAUGCAAGUCGAGCGGAAACGAUCCUAGCUUGCUAGGAGGCGUCGAGCGGCGGACGGGUGAGUAACACGUGAGAAUCUGCCCAUUAGAGGGGGAUAACCUGGGGAAACCCAGGCUAAUACCGCAUAAUCCCUACGGGGGAAAGCAGGGGAUCUUCGGACCUUGUGCUGAUGGAUGAGCUCGCGUCGGAUUAGCUUGUUGGUGAGGUAAUGGCUCACCAAGGCGACGAUCCGUAGCUGGUCUUAGAGGAUGAUCAGCCACACCGGGACUGAGACACGGCCCGGACUCCUACGGGAGGCAGCAGUGGGGAAUCUUGGACAAUGGGGGCAACCCUGAUCCAGCCAUGCCGCGUGUGUGAAGAAGGCCUUCGGGUUGUAAAGCACUUUCAGUAGGGAGGAAGGCUUAUCCUUAAUACGGAUGAGUACUUGACGUUACCUACAG